CGCCCAAGAGAUCGGGAUAACACCUGGAAACAGAUGCUAAUACCGGAUAACAACAGAUGAUGCCUAUCAACUGUUUAAAAGAUGGUUCUGCUAUCACUCUUGGAUGGACCUGCGGUGCAUUAGCUAGUUGGUAGGGUAAUGGCCUACCAAGGCGAUGAUGCAUAGCCGAGUUGAGAGACUGAUCGGCCACAUUGGGACUGAGACACGGCCCAA
rnacentral:rRNA from 1 species